rnacentral:misc_RNA from 1 species
GUUUUCUGCAAGUACAAAUGGUGGACUAUUAGAUUUGGCUAUCUCAGAUUUUUCUUGACGAGCGCUCCUCGUGUUCUCACUGCCACCAGCUAGUAAGGAGGAUUUAUCGUUGGAUGUUGCAAUAUUGACUGCUGAUUGUGAGGAUGCCCCGUCUACGUAACAAUUGUGCAGCCUCUGUCGGGUAAUAAGUGAUGAAAGAAGCUGAUACCACCUAGAAAGAGCUUCUGCUUCAGUCCUCCUCCGCUCUUUGGCCUCUCUUCUCACCUCUUCUUCUGCAUAUGCCUCAAGAAUUG